GGGGAUGCAGCUCAGUGGUAGAGUGCUUGCUUAAAACCCAAGUCCCUGGGUUAGAUCCCCAGCACUCCUU
rnacentral:tRNA from 1 species